rnacentral:rRNA from 1 species
UACCCCGGUGAAACUUAAGCAUAUCAAUAAGCGGAGGAAAAGAAACCAACAGGGAUUGCCCUAGUAACGGCGAGUGAAGCGGCAACAGCUCAAAUUUGAAAUCUGGCCCUCGGGUCCGAGUUGUAAUUUGUAGAGGAUGCUUUUGGUGAGGUACCUUCCGAGUUCCCUGGAACGGGACGCCAUAGAGGGUGAGAGCCCCGUCUGGUUGGAUACCAAACCUCUGUAAAGCUCCUUCGACGAGUCGAGUAGUUUGGGAAUGCUGCUCUAAAUGGGAGGUAUAUGUCUUCUAAAGCUAAAUACCGGCCAGAGACCGAUAGCGCACAAGUAGAGUGAUCGAAAGAUGAAAAGCACUUUGAAAAGAGAGUUAAAAAGUACGUGAAAUUGUUGAAAGGGAAGCGCUUAUGACCAGACUUGGACUUGGUUGAUCAUCCUGGGUUCUCCCUGGUGCACUCUUCCAGUUCAGGCCAGCAUCAGUUCGCUGCGGGGGAUAAAAGUUUUGGGAAUGUGGCUCCCUCGGGAGUGUUAUAGCCCAUUUCAUAAUACCCUGCUCCGGACUGAGGUUCGCGCAUCUGCAAGGAUGCUGGCGUAAUGGUCAUCAGCGACCCGUCUUGAAACACGGACCAAGGAGUCGUCUUCGUAUGCGAGUGUUCGGGUGUUAAACCCCUACGCGUAAUGAAAGUGAACGCAGGUGAGAGCUUCGGCGCAUCAUCGACCGAUCCUGAUGUUCUCGGAUGGAUUUGAGUAAGAGCAUACGGGGCCGGACCCGAAAGAAGGUGAACUAUGCCUGUAUAGGGUGAAGCCAGAGGAAACUCUGGUGGAGGCUCGCAGCGGUUCUGACGUGCAAAUCGAUCGUCAAAUAUGGGCAUGGGGCGAAAGACUAAUUCGACCU